GACGAACGCUGGCGGCGUGCUUAACACAUGCAAGUCGAACGAAGUGGCGAACGGGUGAGUAACGCGUAAUCAACCUGCCCUUCAGAGGGGGACAACAGGUGGAAACGACUGCUAAUACCGCAUACUGAAGGUGGGGAUUGCGUCUGAUUAGCUAGGUGGAGGGGUAACGGCCCACCAAGGCGAUGAUCAGGCGCCGGUCUGAGAGGAUGAGCGGCGACAUUGGGACUGAGACACGGCCCAGACGCCUACGGGAGGCAGCAGUGGGGAAUCUGCCGCAAUGAACGAAAGUCUGACGGAGCAACGCCGCGUGAGUGAUGACGGCCUUCGGGUGGUAGAGCUCUGUUAAGCGGGACGCGGUACCUGAAUAGAAAGCCACGGCUAACUACGUGCCAGCCGCCGCGGUAAUUC
rnacentral:rRNA from 1 species